rnacentral:rRNA from 1 species
UACGUAGGGUGCGAGCGUUGUCCGGAAUUAUUGGGCGUAAAGAGCUUGUAGGCGGUUUGUCGCGUCUGCUGUGAAAUCUCAAGGCUCAACCUUGAGCUUGCAGUGGGUACGGGCAGACUAGAGUGUGGUAGGGGAGACUGGAAUUCCUGGUGUAGCGGUGAAAAUGCGCAGAUAUCAGGAGGAACGACCGAUGGCGAAGGCAGGUCUCCUGGGCAUUAACUGACGCUGAGGAGCGAAAGCAUGGGGAGCGAACAGG